UCAAUCAAUAGAAUUUUUGGGCAAGU
rnacentral:sRNA from 1 species